AACCUAGCACACCUGCGGUGUGUACCUGCGGAGGGAUCAUUAACAAGCUGUGGGAGAUCAAUUUGAUCUCACACCUGGCCAACCUUGUUAACCUUAAAUAUAUUGCUUUGGUGAGCCCUGCUCACCAAAGUCAAACCCUAAACUCUUGAUUGUUUCUGCUGUCUGAGCAUGCAAGUGCAAAAUUUAGUUAAAAAACUUUCAACAAUGGAUCU
rnacentral:misc_RNA from 1 species